rnacentral:lncRNA from 1 species
GAUUUUAUAGAAUAUUUUAAUACAUGGAAAAAAAGGAUAUGAUCAAAUUUAAUCCAACAAGGUAACGCAUAGACAAGGCGUGUGCCUGAUCUGGAACAUGUGAAUGAUCAGCCACAGAAGCCACCAAGAAAGGUUUUCCUGUUGAGACAAAGAUCCGAGGUUGACUUGAGCCAUAAAAAAGGAACAUCUGUUCAGGCCUGUAGCUGGUGUUUUUAGGACAGCUCUGCUUGGCCUCAGGCUGGCAUCACUUUGAACCUGAACCUGAUCCGCAGCACCUAGUCAUGGGGGGACUUGGACGGGCCCAGUGAGCAUCAGAAUGUUUUGUUUCCUCCCAGGUUUCCUCCUGUGAUAAGCAGGCUGCAGAGGAAGCAAGAAGGAGGCAGUUUCAGCAACACAGUCUAGGGAUUUCAGAAGGGCUGAGCUUCUGUUCAGACUCCAUCUGAAGAGGACAGAGGUGACUGGGAGAUGGCCUGACUUCAAAUACUUUUCCUUAUUCUGCUGAUGCUCUUGUAAGAACAAGAAGCAAUCCCUUGUAAGUCACAAGGAGGACAGUGACUCUCCCCUCUGUGUUUCUGUAGGCAUCGUGGAUGACAUGGGCUGUGGAAGAAGGUCUGCCUCUGCCCCACACCAGGCAGCUGGCCUCAGCCAACAAAAGAGCCCAAACAAGAACCUCUCCGUGGUUCAGAAACCGGGUGUGCUGCCUUCUAGGUUGGGGUGUGCAAAGUAAGGGGAGGGUGAAGAAAGAGGCAGCAGUUGAACCUUCCCUCUCUCAUUUCAAUGUCUGUGUCCAUAGGCUGACUGGUUAGAGAAAAAUUGGGAAGUGGGGUGAAGCGGCUCCAGCCCUCUUCCUCUUUAGCCCAGGGGAGUUUGAGCUUUGAGGUACCAGGGUAAUUCUGAUCCUUCAGAUUUGCAACUGUGUUUAUCCCAUUAAACCAGAUUAGACCAGAAAUUUAGCCAGCCGUGGUCCAUGCUUCUCCUCUGAUGGGGAAAUCUAAAUCCUUUGCUUGAUUUCACCAGCAAUAAGAGCCUGCACCUAAUUGGCUUUGGUCUCACCCUGCAGUUGCAGCAUCACUGAACAAGUCUUGGGGCUAGCGGGCACCUUGAUUUUUGGGGCACCACUGAUUUAAGGCAGCCAAAGCGGGACGCAGACAGUCAGGAGCUGUUGGGUGAACACAGCACUGAGAAGCUACAGCCUUUACCUCUAGAGCAAAUAUGUCCUUUGACUCUUUUUUGGUCUUUUGUUUUCCCUUUUAGGCCAAGAGGUGUCUCCAGCCACCUCGCUCUAAAGAGUCAGGUGCUCAGCUUUUCUAAAACCCAUUACACGUAUCCAGCCUUCCUCUGCUCCCAGCUCUCAUGAUGUCCCUCCAGCCCUCAGAGGGAAAGCAGGACUUCAUGCAGCAGUGCUAAAACCCUUACUAUUGUUAUCACAGUAACAACCCAUGUCCAUAGAACUCCCUCUCUCCCCCAACAAUGGCUGACAGUUGGGUUUUUAUACCAAAUUGUUUGCAAAAACCUUGACACAUGCCUGUAACUUGGAUGUUGCUGCCAGCAUCCCUGGGCACUCUUGUUUCAACAUGCUUCGGUGGCUCAGAGUUCAGAGGUAAUCAGCUUUGGUCUUCCUUAAAGGGUCAGGGCAACUCCAGAAAUGGUCUUUUUCUACUAGCUACAUACAACAACUACUAUGUGUGAGUGUGUGGUGGGAGGGGUGCAUGUGUGUGUAUAGAUUUUAUAUAUAUCUAUAUAUACACUUUUAUAUAUAGUAUACAGUUAUACACAUACGUAGUCUAUUUAUGCACAUGUUUAAGCACGCGCACACACACACAUAUUUAUAUCUAUAUAUCCUCAGUUUCGAAUACAUGCCAAUUUUGACCCUCCUUUAGGCCUGUUGGGCAAGUGAGAUUUAUAGCAUAGAGAUGCUGCUUUUCCAAAUAUGUACAGGUUCAUCUUGAAACCAAAUCAGUUGCUGGAAUUAAAGCAGACUCAGACCCUCUCAUGCUCUCAUAGAUAUGAGGCAGUUCCUAGGAGGAAGAACCACUAUGUCCUUUGAAGUUUUAUAUUGUUUUAGCAACAUUUCUCCUUCCACAUGCUAGAGGGCCCCUAGAAUGAGCAUCUCAAGAGGUUGGGAGCUGAGCUGAUUGGGUCCAGGCUAUCUAACAGAAGUAGUUGGGAAAAGUCUUCAGCCCAGCAAUGCCAAGCCCUCAUGGAUGACUGUCCUGUGACUGCUGCAUUGGUACUUGAAUCUCAACAACCCCUGUGGACACUGACAAAUGGAGGUGCACAGAAACUCCCCGAGGGCUGUCUCUAUCUCUGUGUGUUCCAUCCACUAGUCUGGUGAAGAUCCUUCUUCGGUUGGGUUACUCUGCUUUGUUUCUCACGGGGAUACUGUUUGAUUUGCCAGGUCUUAGCAGUGCAGUAGCCAAUCUUGAGUUAUUCCGACUGGACCUCAGUCAGCACUAGGCUUGUCUCAGUAGGUGGAACUAUAUUUAUUAUUACUGGGUUUUUUUGGUUGAUUUGGGGGGAAGGGAGGGAAGAGUUCUCGGGCUGGGGUUUGCAAUAUAAAGCACACAAUAAAAACCUUAGUAAAUAAAAAUGUGAAAAACC